rnacentral:lncRNA from 1 species
GUUUCAGGUGACGAUAGGCAGCUGCUCCAGUCUUUUGGUCUCACGCUGCGUUUCAGGGUUGGCUGUCGUAUCUGUGCAUACAUACGUUCCCGUGCAAAACGUGUAUAAACAGGCGUGUGUGUGUACGGUAGAUACAUAUUUUUUUGAUAUGAUUUGAUUUAUGUAUAAUAGCGCAUAUAAAGCUUUUCAAGGUGGCUGCAAUGUAAAAAGUAAUGACUUUAUUACCUCUGAAAGGUUCUGUGGUUCACAUUUAACAGUCCUCUGAAUUACAAUUCAUUACAGUUGUGCGCUCUCUAAAGCCAACAUACAUCAGAACACCUAUCUGUGGUUAUUUCCAGUAAAUAACAGGCAACAUUUUAUUGAUUUUCUUUAAAAAAUCAUAGCAAAUUAAGCACUUAGUUACAAGUAAAUCUGUUUUAUUAUUGCACUAUAUUUGAGAUUCCAGAGGUGACCUCCUAGACCGCAUCUUAAAACAUACAUUCAAAAGCUAAUUUCACAGAUGCUUUCGUGAAUGGCAGCGAGAAUGUUUCUACCAUUAGUAUGCCCUUAAUUCCAGCAUCAUAAAAAGCCUCGAAUUAAAUGGAAACUCGCUCCCUUAAAACAGUAUUUCAUCCUGUCUGGAUAAUUAUUAAUAUUGGCAUUUGAUCACAAUAGUGCCGUGCUCCCCCUGCGCCCCCCCUCAGCACUUUGCAUUGUCAUGUGAUUGGAGGGAGAUAACAAACCUCAAGAAAGAAAAGGAGUCAGAAGACAUUUUUAACAUGCUCUAACCACAGAUUAAUAAUCGAGUCCCACAGGAUGCUCCGCAAUCUUGCUGCAACAGUUUGAGCUGCUGUCAUCUUAGCCACUCUUUCGCCAGAGACUCCCGGCCCCAGAGCAACGGCAGCGUGAGGAAAUGUGGCCCCACAUCUCAGCUGCAUCUGGGCAAACUCUGAGCUACAGAUGGGAGGGGAGAGCAUCGCUGGAGCGCAGGCAGCCGCUCACCCCAAAUAGCCCGGCUCAGGCACGCAGAGGAUGCGAACUGGAAGAUCUUGACUUGGACUGA